rnacentral:piRNA from 1 species
UGCUGGAGCCAGAUGAGAGUAUUUAUUUU